GUUUGUAUCAGGUCGUGCUUUCAGAGAUCACAUCUCUGCAGGUUCUGCCUGCUUGGGCUGUUGAGCAAAUGCAGUAGGAGCAUUCAUGAGCAGCAUGUGAUGAACCAUAAGCAAUGAGGAGUCUCCCAAGGAAGAACUGGGUGACCAUGGAAGAGCAGGUUGAUUGUCCAGCUUUACAGGGACCUCCUUCCUGACCACAGGAGAUGCCUUCCUCAGCUAACUGACAGCCCCUGGUGUUAUGUUGGGGAAAGCUGCUGAGUACAAGGUCCAGGAGCUCCUGUUUCGGGGAGAAGAGGUUGCAAAUGAGCCAGGAAAACUUGUACUCUAGGACUUUAUCUUCUUGGGAUCCUGAAGUGGAUGAGAUGCUGGCCUGGGAUGCGAGACUGGCCCCUGCCAUGGAGCCAAGAACCCCAGAGAUAACCAGUGCUAUGGGGCAGCACUCACCUGGAU